UUCGCCCAGGUCUGUCCUAACCCAAAGGACUUUUGUGUAAAUACAUGGCAGAAACCCACUUGCCAGUGAUAGUGAGAAAGUCUUCCAUGGCUCCCAUGAUGCGUAUGAAUGUGCACAUCUUUGCCUACAUGUAUUCUUGUGAGAAGCAGAUCUUUGGUAAUAAUGUAGUCCAUGUAGACACAUCCACACCGGUGUUACCAAAUGAGCAGCUGAAAAGGUACAGUUAAGAAGACUUAUCCCCACACCUGAGGAACAGUUACUAAUUUCUCAAAACACCCAUGCACACACUUCCGCCUUCCUUUCCUCCUCUGCAGAGGAACACGCUGAUCAACAGCCACCUCAGCUUGUGGCUAAACGGCUCCUGCUUCUAAGCCCUUCCCCCAGGGCAGGCAUGCACCAUCAUCCCCAGGUGACAGGAGGAGAAAGGCAAACCCAAGCAACUGCUGGGAAAGCAACAGGAGAAUGGUCCCAGCAACCACAACACAUCUCCAGCUACUUACUCCUAACUGGUAUGCAGGAACUGUCAGGGUAGAGGGUGCUGGGGGCAACACUGGGACUCUGUGUGUUCCUUACCCAUGUCCUAGCAGAACAAUGCCAAAGCAGUGACAAGCAAUGCCUUUCAGAAGACCUUUCCUACACACUUUAUGAAUGUACAGGAGCACUGGCUUCCUUCUGGUUUCCAUACGAGACUCACUAACCUACGUGCUGAAUGAGGACAGCCACCAGGUUUUCAGUAACUGGUAAGAAGAACAGUAGGUGAGAAUUCCCCUAAUGCAGGAUAAAAAGAAACCCCACCUAUGGCACCUUCUCUCUUGUACAACUAGAGGAAGUUUGGAAGAAACAACUUCCUUUUCUUGUUGUUACAUUUAGGACAUAAAGAAGACACACUGCAAAAGCACCAUAAUGAGUAAGAGCCAAGUUAAUGUCAUAAGUGUAACGAACAUAAGAAGAGCCCUGCUGGAUCAGGCCAAGGGCCCAUCUAGUCCAGCUUCCUGUAUCUC